GAUGAAGAACGUAGCGAAAUGCGAUAAGUAAUGUGAAUUGCAGAAUUCAGUGAAUCAUCGAAUCUUUGAACGCACCUUGCACCCUUUGGUAUUCCGAAGGGUAUGCUCGUUUGAGUGUCAUUGUACUCUCACACUUCUAAUUCCUUUCGGGAUUGGGAGCGGUGGACUUGGGUGUUGCUGCUUUAGUUGUGGCUCACCUCAAAUAAGUUAGUGCAACUCUUGGUUGGACAUAGUACGGCGUGAUAAGUGUCUUCGCCGGCGCCUCUGAAAGGAGGGUGGCCGAUCGGGAGCUCUGUGCUUCAAACCGUCUUCGGACAAUCUUUGACAACUUGACCUCAAAUCGAGUAGGACUACCCGCUGAACUUAAGCAUAUCAAUAAGCGGAGGA
rnacentral:misc_RNA from 1 species